CUAUUAGAUAAAAUACAAGAUACGAUAAAACAAUGCUGAUUUUUACAGAAUGCGGAUCAUCGAAUUUUUGAUUUUGGUUUUCCGUAAUAGAAUUUCGAUGGCGCGGUUGAAACACAACGGGCACUAAAUACAGUUUGUAGCGAGAUGAUCGCGAUUUUCCUUCAUACUGUCCUUCUAAGAAUAACGAACGUCUAACGAAUAAAUAAAAAGUUAAUCGCGUAGCGAGAACGUUUAAUAGUUCACAACGAGGCUAUCGUAGUUCACGAAAAGUUCGUCAGAAGUUAACAAGUUUCAAAGUAAAAGAGGAGCGUCGAUAUUGCACACUUUUACAAAUUCUCAUUCUUCGUGUACUGCACGAAACGAGCGAUAAACCAGCGUCGAUUUCAUGAACAAAACGAGCAAUAAAUACAACAGACGACUACGGGAACGGGUUUCUUAAAUUCGUUUUGAACGUUACAGACCUCUUGAAACGAUCAGACCAGAUCGAUCUAGGAUAGACGAACGUUAUCUCAGGCGUGGAUCAUCCGAGUGAUCGAGACUGCGUGCAGAUGCGUAUCUCUCAGCGAUCGUCAGAGCGAGGGAAGAGGAUGCGCCAUCAAGUGACGUCAGCGGAAUGCAGAAACUGGCCAAGCAAAUUAAUGGGAUUAGGCUGUUGGUUCGUGCAGAAGGUAAUAUCAAUCAACGUCAUUCUCUAAGCAACAGCAGUAUCUUUCUGUCUCUCUGUGUGUCAAGCGAACAGAUAUCGAAUAGGACGAAACGAAGUAAUUCAGUCUAGUUGGGAUUAUUAAAUGUGCGAUGUAAUAUUGCAGUUAUUUUAUAUUUGGGAUUUUAUAUUUUCUAAUGAUGUCAUUUGAUGGAUGAAAUUGAUAUCAUGCCUAUCCGAAGGAGCAAAACAAAAUUAAUUAAUAAUUAAAGGAAUUAAUGUAACUCUUUUCUUUAGUAUGCAAAUCAGACUAAUAAAAAUAACAUUUCAGUUUUU